rnacentral:lncRNA from 1 species
CCAGAAGGCAGUCGACCACCAUAGAAACUUGGGUGGAGUCUGGUUACUGUAGAAAUCUCAUUGUUGGGGAAGCUCAGAUGCUGAUGAAGUCUGAAAGAAGUUCGGGGGUAGUCGGUUGCUGUAGAAGGUCGGCUAACAGUGGGGCCCUGAGGGCCUUUGAGGUGGCCCGGUGGAUGAAUGCAGAAGUUUAUUGUCGAAGAAGUCCGGACGGUUGAGGGGGUUCGGAGAGAUGCCACACAUAAGGUCG